UGGGGAAUUUUUGUCAAUGGGGGCAACCCUGAACAAGCAACGCCGCGUGAAGGACGAAGACCUUCGGGUUGUAAACUUCUGUCGGAGGGGACGAAAGCGGUCGAGGUGAAUACCCUCGGCCGUUGACGGUACCCUACGAGGAAGCCCCGGCUAACUCCGUGCCAGCAGCCGCGGUAAUACGGGGGGGGCAAGCGUUGUUCGGAAUUACUGGGCGUAAAGGGCGCGUAGGCGGGCGGGCAAGUCUCUCGUGAAAGCCCACGGCUCAACCGUGGAAUUGCGGGAGAUACUGCUCGUCUUGAGUCCGGGAGAGGAGGGUGGAAUUCCCAGUGUAGCGGUGAAAUGCGUAGAUAUUGGGAGGAACACCGGUGGCGAAGGCGGCUCUCUGGACCGGUACUGACGCUGAGGCGCGAAAGCUAGGGGAGCAA
rnacentral:rRNA from 1 species